rnacentral:lncRNA from 1 species
CAGUGUCCUUCUUCCUCUAGGCACACUUUAUCUCCUGCUGCCCGCAUGACAAAACCCCAGCCUAGUUGGAGGACGUGCGACUCUGUGAACGUAGAUGGCCCACCUUGCUUGGACUGUUCUACAUGAAAUCAUCCAUAGAUGACCCAGAAGUUGACUACAGAAUGCUGUCUUAGGCAAAGUGCUGAAGACCACACGGGUGGUCUUCUCAGCGGCCCAUCUGUGAUCUCAGAACCCGGUCACUGUCGUGUUUUUUUGUAAGCCCGGAGUUGAGAUGAAAAUGAAGCCAAGCCCCUUGGAGACGUAUUUCUCCACGUUGCAAGGAUUUCGAUGGGUUGUUUAG